rnacentral:rRNA from 1 species
AGCAUUUGCUGUACCGCGUUGACGGAGCGAAGCGACGUCAAACCGAUAAAACAGCAGUGUAAAGUGAGCCGCAGGGCGCUUUGCGCGACAGCGCAAAGGCAGGCGGUUUCGCGUAGCGAAAGCGAAUGCUUUGGGGUGGGGUGACUGCGUACCUUUUGUAUAAUGGGUCAGCGACUUAUAUUCUGUAGCAAGGUUAACCGAAUAGGGGAGCCGGAGGGAAACCGAGUCUUAAUUGGGCGUUAAGUUGCAGGGUAUAGACCCGAAACCCGGUGAUCUAGCCAUGGGCAGGUUGAAGGUUGGGUAACACUAACUGGAGGACCGAACCGACUAAUGUUGAAAAAUUAGCGGAUGACCUGUGGCUGGGGGUGAAAGGCCAAUCAAACCGGGAGAUAGCUGGUUCUCCCCGAAAGCUAUUUAGGUAGCGCCUCGUGAAUUCAUCUCCGGGGGUAGAGCACUGUUUCGGCUAGGGGGCCAUCCCGGCUUACCAACCCGAUGCAAACUGCGAAUACCGGAGAAUGUUAUCACGGGAGACACACGGCGGGUGCUAACGUCCGUCGUGAAGAGGGAAACAACCCAGACCGCCAGCUAAGGUCCCAAAGUCAUGGUUAAGUGGGAAACGAUGUGGGAAGGCCCAGACAGCCAGGAUGUUGGCUUAGAAGCAGCCAUCAUUUAAAGAAAGCGUAAUAGCUCACUGGUCGAGUCGGCCUGCGCGGAAGAUGUAACGGGGCUAAACCAUGCACCGAAGCUGCGGCAGCGACACUGUGUGUUGUUGGGUAGGGGAGCGUUCUGUAAGCCUGCGAAGGUGGCCUGUGAGGGUUGCUGGAGGUAUCAGAAGUGCGAAUGCUGACAUAAGUAACGAUAAAGCGGGUGAAAAGCCCGCUCGCCGGAAGACCAAGGGUUCCUGUCCAACGUUAAUCGGGGCAGGGUGAGUCGACCCCUAAGGCGAGGCCGAAAGGCGUAGUCGAUGGGAAACGGGUUAAUAUUCCCGUACUUGGUGUUACUGCGAAGGGGGGACGGAGAAGGCUAUGUUGGCCGGGCGACGGUUGUCCCGGUUUAAGCGUGUAGGUGUGUGUUCCAGGUAAAUCCGGUUCACUUUAACACUGAGGCGUGACGACGAGGCACUACGGUGCUGAAGCAACAAAUGCCCUGCUUCCAGGAAAAGCCUCUAAGCAUCAGGUAACAUCAAAUCGUACCCCAAACCGACACAGGUGGUCAGGUAGAGAAUACCAAGGCGCUUGAGAGAACUCGGGUGAAGGAACUAGGCAAAAUGGUGCCGUAACUUCGGGAGAAGGCACGCUGACACGUAGGUGAAGUGAUUUACUCAUGGAGCUGAAGUCAGUCGAAGAUACCAGCUGGCUGCAACUGUUUAUUAAAAACACAGCACUGUGCAAACACGAAAGUGGACGUAUACGGUGUGACGCCUGCCCGGUGCCGGAAGGUUAAUUGAUGGGGUCAGCGCAAGCGAAGCUCCUGAUCGAAGCCCCGGUAAACGGCGGCCGUAACUAUAACGGUCCUAAGGUAGCGAAAUUCCUUGUCGGGUAAGUUCCGACCUGCACGAAUGGCGUAAUGAUGGCCAGGCUGUCUCCACCCGAGACUCAGUGAAAUUGAACUCGCUGUGAAGAUGCAGUGUACCCGCGGCAAGACGGAAAGACCCCGUGAACCUUUACUAUAGCUUGACACUGAACAUUGAGCCUUGAUGUGUAGGAUAGGUGGGAGGCUUUGAAGUGUGGACGCCAGUCUGCAUGGAGCCGACCUUGAAAUACCACCCUUUAAUGUUUGAUGUUCUAACGUGGACCCGUUACCCGGGUUGCGGACAGUGUCUGGUGGGUAGUUUGACUGGGGCGGUCUCCUCCUAAAGAGUAACGGAGGAGCACGAAGGUUGGCUAAUCCUGGUCGGACAUCAGGAGGUUAGUGCAAUGGCAUAAGCCAGCUUGACUGCGAGCGUGACGGCGCGAGCAGGUGCGAAAGCAGGUCAUAGUGAUCCGGUGGUUCUGAAUGGAAGGGCCAUCGCUCAACGGAUAAAAGGUACUCCGGGGAUAACAGGCUGAUACCGCCCAAGAGUUCAUAUCGACGGCGGUGUUUGGCACCUCGAUGUCGGCUCAUCACAUCCUGGGGCUGAAGUAGGUCCCAAGGGUAUGGCUGUUCGCCAUUUAAAGUGGUACGCGAGCUGGGUUUAGAACGUCGUGAGACAGUUCGGUCCCUAUCUGCCGUGGGCGCUGGAGAACUGAGGGGGGCUGCUCCUAGUACGAGAGGACCGGAGUGGACGCAUCACUGGUGUUCGGGUUGUCAUGCCAAUGGCACUGCCCGGUAGCUAAAUGCGGAAGAGAUAAGUGCUGAAAGCAUCUAAGCACGAAACUUGCCCCGAG